ensembl:lncRNA
UGAAUGUGUAAAACGCUUUUAUUAUGGGCCUAUAUCAAAUCCUUCUGAACAUACUGAGACAUGUAUCAACCCUUAACUGCCCUUCUCUUUUCAAACUUACAGCUUGCCCUAUUAACCUCCCUUCUAGCCCAAAUAGUAAGUCACAGGAGGAUUAAAAAAAAAAAAGAAUACUGAACCAAUUCGCAAAAUAUUGGUGUCUACACUCUGGAAUUAUUCUUUAACAAUCAAAAUAAUGUUUCAAAUAUUAACACAACAUAUUUACAAACACAACAUGAUUGACAAAUCAAAAAUGGAUACAUUCUUUUUUUUGUCAAGUAAUUCAUGUAAAUGCGUUGAGUGCAUUUCAUUCUCAAAUAACUGACUGCCAGAUCAACGAAAAAUUAUGACAGAAAUAUGUAUGAAGGCUAUGUACACAGAAAUAUAAAAAAAAGAAAAAGAAGAGGGGAGGUAAAAACAACCAGCUUAUUUAUAAACAUAUAUAUACUGAAUGAAAAACCAAAAUGAGCCGUCCAAUCCAGCUAUUUGAAAAAAGCCUCAGCUUUUUCCUAAUAGCAUGAGCAGGGAGUUGUAUAAGGCAUGCGUGGGACCAAAAAGACCAAAGCCGUUUAAAACUGCUGACCAGUUAUAUUUCACAAGCUGGAGGAAGUGAAUGAAUACGAACACUGUUUCAGGAUGACUUCAUAAUGCCAGUAGGAAUCAAUACGACCCGGUUUCAUGAUUGGUUCUGUGCCGUCAAUACAACCACCUCGAUAGAACAGCAACAACCGUUUAGCCCUUUUACAAGAUGCAGGGUUAUAGAAAACUGGGAUUUCAUAUUGUAAUUGGUGAAAGAAAAAUUAUGGUGCAUUUGUAAUUGACUGAAUCUAGGCGCGAGUAAGAAUGCUUAAGUCCAUGUCCAUUGAAGCCAAAACCCAAAGUGUUUAGAGCUGUGAUAUGAAUUUGAGUUUCAACAUCCAUCUAUUGCGCUAGUCUUAACUUUUUACCUAACUUAAGCAAAAUGUUAGAACAUCAAACAUUCUAAUAGACUGCAUUUUAAAGCUAUGUCAACGUUGGUGAACCAAUGCCUAAUUAUAAAGCCUCAAGGACAAAACGUCUUUUAAUUAUGUUGUCUAAAACAUAAUGAAAUAAAAAAAAGAUACUCUGUUAAAUCGACACCUUACUGAUAAUACUUGACUGUCACAGAUUAAAUAAACACAACUACCAGCAUCACUUGCAGUACCAAGUACAUGGUUUUCUCUACAUUUAUUACAGAUACAACAAGAUGUCUUCAUAAAUAGUUGCAUAAAAUGUUAAAGCUGCAACAUUGCACAUAAUAAGAAACAUAAGAUGAGUGCAUUUACAGUAAUCUCCUCCCGAUGCAAUCCCCCCCCCUUUGCAUUCACCCCUCUGACGGGCUAUCCCUGCUGCUAAGGCUCUGACGCACAAUCACAAUCUUACAUUUUUAGGUCUCCCAAAUAGUCAUUUCCGCCACAACGGCCAAAGCGGGCGUUUGGAGUUUGGAGGGGGACUCCGAAGGCGGUUCAAAGUCUAUAUACAAAGUAAGGCUUAAACAUCUGUAUAUGUGCACAACGCAACGUUUGAUCUAGGAAAAAGCCCAAACACCAUCCUUUCUACGUCUAGUCUGUCGUUUUUCGGAGGUCGGACGGUGCAGCGCAGUUUUACGUGCAACGUGGUCGUCAUGGUUAUCGUAGAUAGGGCACAUACAAGAAGCACUGACAGCAAAGAGACUGGCUGCCCGACCGGCACACGCGGUCACAUGGGGUAGCUCGGGGCCUCCAGCAGCCUUCCACGGACCGACAUUAAUCAACGCUUUUUUUGUUUUAAAACAAAUAAUUGAAAAUCUAUGGACAUUAUUUUCCUUUCUAUACAUAGUUUAUAUAACAAAAGGGAUGCUUCGUCUAAAAGUCAGAUUGAGUGUGAAAGAGGAACAGGACCAAAAGAUGACGCCUCCCUCCCUCCCCUCAGCGGUGAGGGGUCAGAGGUCGUCUUGGCUCGGCCGUUCCUAGCUCGCGUCGCUCUCCCGUGGAAACUCUGCUACUCGGUGCAGUCGCUUCAAGGCUCCAUCUCGUGUCUUUUUUUUGAUCGAUUCCGAUGUCUUGCAAAAUAAAUUACUUCAUUCUCCAUCUUUAUUUUUUUCAGUUUUUUUCGCUGCGCUUUACUAUAAAAAAGGGCUUUGAUUCUGAAAACAGCAAGCAGCAGUAGACAAGGACAUCCACCCGUUGGUCGGCUGAGAACUCUUCUCCAGGGCUUUGAUUGGCUGACCUGAACAACAGGUCAUCAUUUCUUGGGGCGAAGAGGACUGGAGCACGUGUGAACGAGGAAGAGAUCGGCGUACAGGCUCCGCCUCUCAGGCAGGUGGCGGGGGGGGGUCGGACUCUGCGGCCAGCUGUUGGCAUCAUGUGGAUGAGGGACUGCCGGAAAAACCAUCUCUAACCACCAGUCUGGCCACUGAUCCCACUGGGGCCACGGCCCAUCCCAUCCCAGGGGGCGAGGAGCCGAGGGGCCGUCCGCCCGUCUGUCCGCUGCGCGCGGGGGGGGUGGGUGGGGGGUCACACCCCGGGCUGCAGCCGGCUGUGGAGGAAGCUCCUCAUGCCGCCGAUGGGCCGCGCGUCCGUCUGGUGCCUCCUGCGGUCGAUGAAGGAGAUGAGGCGGGAGGUGUCCAGGCAGACCUCGGCGCCGCCGCCCUGCAGCCAGGGCUCCUGGAGGCACAGCCCCGCGGGGGGCCUCCGGCCGGGGUCCGUCCUCAGCAGCAGGCACACAAAGUCCCGGGCGGCGUGGCCCACGCCCUGGAAGUAGUCCCCGGGGAAGCUGAAGUCCAGGCGGCAGAUGUUCAGGCAGGUCUCCUCGGUGCUCUCGUCCAGGAAGGGCGAGGCGCCGCUGAGCAGCACGUAGGUGACCACGCCCAGGCUCCACAGGUCGCAGGCCGGGGAGGCCGGCUCCCCCAGCACCACCUCGGGGGCGGCGAACUCGGGGCUGCCCAGCAGGGCGUGGACGUGGUGGGAGCCGCCCAGCUGCACCGCGUCGCCGAAGUCCGUGAGCUUGAUGGAGGGCGGGCCGCCGGAGCUCUGGGACACCAGCAGGUUCUCAG